rnacentral:rRNA from 1 species
GAAAUGCGUUGAUAUCGGAAGGAACGCCGAAAGCGAAAGCAGCUAACUACAGAAUACUUGACGAUGAGGGACGACAGUUCGGGUAGCAAACAGGAUUAGAUACCCUGGUAGUCCGAACCGUAAAUUAUGCUUGCUAGAUGUUUUUGUCAAUUUAUUGGCAGGAGUGUCGUAAUCUAACGAGUUAAGCAAGUCGCCUGGGUAGUAUAUUCGCAAGAAUGAAACUCAAAGGGAUAGGCGGGGGAACACACAAGCAGUGGAUUAUCUAGAUUAAUUGGAUAAUAAGCCAAGAAUCUUACCUAGGAUUGACAUGUAUUGUGUCUGCGGUGAAAGUCGCAUAUCCGUAGCAAUACGGAGCUUUACACAGAUGGUGCAUGGUCGUCGUCAGCUCGUGCCGCAAGGUGUCUAGUUAAGUCUGGAAACGAGCGCAACCCUCAUGCUUAGUUAGUAUGUCUAAGCAGACUGCUCGGGUAACCGAGAGGAAGGAGAGGAUGACGUCAGAUCCUCAUGCCUCUUACACCUAGGGCCUCAUAGAUAAUACAAUGGGUAGGUACAGCGAGAAGCAAGACCGCGAGGUGGAGCAAAUCUUUAAAACUACCCCUAGUUCGGAUUGUAGUCUGGAACUCGACUACAUGAAGUUGGAAUUGCUAGUAAUGGCAGAUCAGCCAUGCUGCCGUGAAUAUGUCCCUGUUCCUUGCACUCACCGCCCGUCAAACCAUGGGAGCUGAGGUUCUUUGAAGACUCAUUAUAUGGGUUAAGGAGGAAAUCAGUGACUGGGGUUAAGUCGUAACAAGGCAUCCCUACCGGAAGGUGGGGAUA